rnacentral:rRNA from 1 species
AGAGUUUGAUCCUGGCUCAGGAUGAACGCUGGCGGCGUGCUUAACACAUGCAAGUCGAACGAAGCACUUUAACCUGAUUCUUCGGAUGAAGGUUUUUGUGACUGAGUGGCGGACGGGUGAGUAACGCGUGGGUAACCUGCCUCAUACAGGGGGAUAACAGUUAGAAAUGACUGCUAAUACCGCAUAAGACCACAGAGCCGCAUGGCUCAGUGGGAAAAACUCCGGUGGUAUGAGAUGGACCCGCGUCUGAUUAGGUAGUUGGUGGGGUAACGGCCUACCAAGCCAACGAUCAGUAGCCGACCUGAGAGGGUGACCGGCCACAUUGGGACUGAGACACGGCCCAAACUCCUACGGGAGGCAGCAGUGGGGAAUAUUGCACAAUGGGGGAAACCCUGAUGCAGCGACGCCGCGUGAGCGAAGAAGUAUUUCGGUAUGUAAAGCUCUAUCAGCAGGGAAGAAAAUGACGGUACCUGACUAAGAAGCACCGGCUAAAUACGUGCCAGCAGCCGCGGUAAUACGUAUGGUGCAAGCGUUAUCCGGAUUUACUGGGUGUAAAGGGAGCGUAGACGGCUGUGUAAGUCUGAAGUGAAAGCCCGGGGCUCAACCCCGGGACUGCUUUGGAAACUAUGCAGCUAGAGUGUCGGAGAGGUAAGUGGAAUUCCCAGUGUAGCGGUGAAAUGCGUAGAUAUUGGGAGGAACACCAGUGGCGAAGGCGGCUUACUGGACGAUGACUGACGUUGAGGCUCGAAAGCGUGGGGAGCAAACAGGAUUAGAUACCCUGGUAGUCCACGCCGUAAACG